rnacentral:lncRNA from 1 species
GGGGGUGAUCUCUGGUCCACGUGGGACUUGACAUACUUGUCAUGACCAGGCCCUAGUUUGGGUCGUGACAAAGAUGGUAUCAGAGCCUAGGUUUAGUGUCAUUCGUGUCUAACUAAGGCAUAUCCAGUAGAGUCUCAUCUAUGGGUAUGUAGCGCACCACACUUAUAAGGGAGAAUCUAUGAGGCAUUUAGGAAUAUUUCCUUUUCUUGUUGUUC